GCUGGGUGUGGUGGUGCGCACCUGUUAUCCCAGCUACUUGGGAGGCUGAGGCAGGAGAAUCGCUUGAACUCAGGAGGUGGAGGUUGUAGUGAGCCAAGAUUGUGCCACUGCACUCCAGCCUGGGUGACAAAGCAAGACCCUGUCUCAA
ensembl:misc_RNA Metazoa_SRP Metazoan signal recognition particle RNA